rnacentral:rRNA from 1 species
UACGUAGGGUGCGAGCGUUGUCCGGAAUUAUUGGGCGUAAAGGGUGCGUAGGCGGUUCGGUAAGUUUCGUGUGAAAUCUUCGGGCUCAACUCGAAGCCUGCACGAGAUACUGCCGGGCUUGAGUGUGGGAGAGGUGAGUGGAAUUCCUAGUGUAGAGGUGAAAUUCGUAGAUAUUAGGAAGAACACCAGUGGCGAAGGCGGCUCACUGGCCCGAUACUGACGCUGAGGCACGAAAGCGUGGGGAGCAAACAGG